GCAAAGAAGCAGUCCAGUUUAAGCUGCUAGGGUUUCUGAUGAGCAACAGGUUAUAAUGAAGGAAGGCAAGGAAGGCGUGAAUGAGCGACUCCAGCCCCUGGUAAAGAGAGGAUUACACUGAAGAUAGAGAGUGUAAGAUGCUUGUGGAGGGCAGGUCAGCACAUCAAACAGGCUCUGCUGGCGCUGCUGGGAGCGCUGAGGGAAGGAUCCUGCCUGCCUGGGGUCGUGGGCAGAAUGUGCCUGGUCUCUCCGCACAGCGCUUCUCAAAUCCACUAAAAUCAACACAAUAAUUGAAAUAUUUUCAAGCUGAUUACACCGCUGCCUGAGGCUAGGCUGGUUGCUAAGGGUAAGCUCCCUGGUUGCUAGGGGGAGUAAAUCAUCUUGCAUUAUUUGAUUUUUGUUAUAGAUAUGAAACCGCUACUCCCUCGAUUAAAUGUCUCUCAGUCUAACACCUAUGGGACCUGGGGAAAGAGAAAAGAAAAGCAGCAACCUUGACCCUGUCAAAUAAAUAUCUCUAACUUUUCCUGUCCUCCGGCUUC
rnacentral:lncRNA from 1 species